UAGGGAAUCUUCGGCAAUGGACGAAAGUCUGACCGAGCAACGCCGCGUGAGUGAAGAAGGUUUUCGAAUCGUAAAACUCUGUUGGUAGAGAAGAACGUUGGUGAGAGUGGAAAGCUCAUCAAGUGACGGUAACUACCCAGAAAGGGACGGCUAACUACGUACCAG
rnacentral:rRNA from 1 species